rnacentral:rRNA from 1 species
GAUGAACGCUGGCGGCGUGCCUAAUACAUGCAAGUCGAGCGAACGGACGAGAAGCUUGCUUUUCUGAUGUUAGCGGCGGACGGGUGAGUAACACGUGGAUAACCUACCUAUAAGACUGGGAUAACUUCGGGAAACCGGAGCUAAUACCGGAUAAUAUUUUGAACCGCAUGGUUCAAAAGUGAAAGACGGUCUUGCUGUCACUUAUAGAUGGAUCCGCGCUGCAUUAGCUAGUUGGUAAGGUAACGGCUUACCAAGGCAACGAUGCAUAGCCGACCUGAGAGGGUGAUCGGCCACACUGGAACUGAGACACGGUCCAGACUCCUACGGGAGGCAGCAGUAGGGAAUCUUCCGCAAUGGGCGAAAGCCUGACGGAGCAACGCCGCGUGAGUGAUGAAGGUCUUCGGAUCGUAAAACUCUGUUAUUAGGGAAGAACAUAUGUGUAAGUAACUGUGCACAUCUUGACGGUACCUAAUCAGAAAGCCACGGCUAACUACGUGCCAGCAGCCGCGGUAAUACGUAGGUGGCAAGCGUUAUCCGGAAUUAUUGGGCGUAAAGCGCGCGUAGGCGGUUUUUUAAGUCUGAUGUGAAAGCCCACGGCUCAACCGUGGAGGGUCAUUGGAAACUGGAAAACUUGAGUGCAGAAGAGGAAAGUGGAAUUCCAUGUGUAGCGGUGAAAUGCGCAGAGAUGUGGAGGAACACCAGUGGCGAAGGCGACUUUCUGGUCUGUAACUGACGCUGAUGUGCGAAAGCGUGGGGAUCAAACAGGAUUAGAUACCCUGGUAGUCCACGCCGUAAACGAUGAGUGCUAAGUGUUAGGGGGUUUCCGCCCCUUAGUGCUGCAGCUAACGCAUUAAGCACUCCGCCUGGGGAGUACGACCGCAAGGUUGAAACUCAAAGGAAUUGACGGGGGCCCGCACAAGCGGUGGAGCAUGUGGUUUAAUUCGAAGCAACGCGAAGAACCUUACCAAAUCUUGACAUCCUUUGACAACUCUAGAGAUAGAGCCUUCCCCUUCGGGGGACAAAGUGACAGGUGGUGCAUGGUUGUCGUCAGCUCGUGUCGUGAGAUGUUGGGUUAAGUCCCGCAACGAGCGCAACCCUUAAGCUUAGUUGCCAUCAUUAAGUUGGGCACUCUAAGUUGACUGCCGGUGACAAACCGGAGGAAGGUGGGGAUGACGUCAAAUCAUCAUGCCCCUUAUGAUUUGGGCUACACACGUGCUACAAUGGACAAUACAAAGGGCAGCGAAACCGCGAGGUCAAGCAAAUCCCAUAAAGCUGUUCUCAGUUCGGAUUGUAGUCUGCAACUCGACUACAUGAAGCUGGAAUCGCUAGUAAUCGUAGAUCAGCAUGCUACGGUGAAUACGUUCCCGGGUCU